rnacentral:rRNA from 1 species
UACGGAGGGUGCAAGCGUUAAUCGGAAUUACUGGGCGUAAAGCGCGCGUAGGCGGUUUUUUAAGUCGGGUGUGAAAGCCCCGGGCUCAACCUGGGAACUGCAUCCGAUACUGGAAGACUAGAAUGCGGGAGAGGGAGGUAGAAUUCCAUGUGUAGCAGUGAAAUGCGUAGAUAUAUGGAGGAAUACCAGUGGCGAAGGCGGCCUCCUGGCUCGACAUUGACGCUGAGGUGCGAAAGCGUGGGGAGCAAACGGG